rnacentral:rRNA from 1 species
UCGAGUCGUCCUGCGCGGAAGAUGUAACGGGGCUAAGCCAGUUACCGAAGCUGCGGAUUUGCAAUUUAUUGCAAGUGGUAGGAGAGCGUUCUGUAAGCCUGUGAAGGUGCCUGGUAACGGGUGCUGGAGGUAUCAGAAGUGCGAAUGCUGACAUGAGUAGCGUUAAAGGGGGUGAAAAGCCCCCUCGCCGUAAGCGCAAGGUUUCCUACGCAACGUUCAUCGGCGUAGGGUGAGUCGGCCCCUAAGGCGAGGCAGAGAUGCGUAGCUGAUGGGAAACAGGUCAAUAUUCCUGUACCGAUGUGUAGUGCGAUGUGGGGACGGAGAAGGUUAGCUCAGCCAACUGUUGGAUAUGUUGGUUCAAGCCUGUAGUCGUGCCUGGUAGGCAAAUCCGCCGGGCUUAGAUGAGGGGUGAUAACGAGUCUGCUUGCAGACGAAGUGAGUGAUACCCUGCUUCCAGGAAAAGCCACUAAGCUUCAGCUACACACGACCGUACCGCAAACCGACACUGGUGCGCGAGAUGAGUAUUCUAAGGCGCUUGAGAGAACUCUGGAGAAGGAACUCGGCAAAUUGAUACCGUAACUUCGGGAGAAGGUAUGCCGCAAGUAGGUGAACUUGAACAAAGGGAGCCCAAAGCGGUUGCAAAAAAUCGGUGGCUGCGACUGUUUAAUAAAAACACAGCACUCUGCAAA